GAUGAACGCUGGCGGCGUGCUUAACACAUGCAAGUCGAACGGAAAGGCUCCUGCUUGCAGGGGUACUCGAGUGGCGAACGGGUGAGUAACACGUGGGUGAUCUGCCCUGCACUUCGGGAUAAGCCUGGGAAACUGGGUCUAAUACCGGAUAGGACGAUGGUUUGGAUGCCAUUGUGGAAAGUUUUUCGGAGUGGGAUGAGCUCGCGGCCUAUCAGCUUGUUGGUGGGGUAAUGGCCUACCAAGGCGUCGACGGGUAGCCGGCCUGGGAGGGUGUCCGGCCCCAUUGGGACUGGGAUACCGGCCGGACUCCUACGGGGGGCAGGAGUGGGGAAUAUUGCACGAUGGGCGCAAGCCUGAUGCAGCGACGCCGCGUGGGGGAUGACGGCCUUCGGGUUGUAAACUCCUUGCGCUAGGGACGAAGCGCAAGUGACGGUACCUGGAGAAGAAGCACCGGCUAACUACGUG
rnacentral:rRNA from 1 species